rnacentral:rRNA from 1 species
AGUGAACGCUGGCGGUAGGCCUAACACAUGCAAGUCGAACGGCAGCACAGUAAGAGCUUGCUCUUACGGGUGGCGAGUGGCGGACGGGUGAGGAAUACAUCGGAAUCUACUUUUUCGUGGGGGAUAACGUAGGGAAACUUACGCUAAUACCGCAUACGACCUACGGGUGAAAGCAGGGGAUCUUCGGACCUUGCGCGAUUGAAUGAGCCGAUGUCGGAUUAGCUAGUUGGCGGGGUAAAGGCCCACCAAGGCGACGAUCCGUAGCUGGUCUGAGAGGAUGAUCAGCCACACUGGAACUGAGACACGGUCCAGCCUCCUACGGGAGGCAGCAGUGGGGAAUAUUGGCCAAUGGGCGCAAGCCUGAUCAAGCCAUACCGCGUGGGCGAAGAAGGCCUUCGGGUUGUAAAGCCCUUUUGUUGGGAAAGAAAAGCAGCAGGUUAAUACCCCGCUGUUCUGACGGUACCCAAAGAAUAAGCACCGGCUAACUUCGU